CCUACGGGAGGCAGCAGUGAGGAAUAUUGGACAAUGGGCGCAAGCCUGAUCCAGCCAUGCCGCGUGCAGGGAGAAGCAUCUAUGGUGUGUAAACUGCUUUUGUACAGGAAGAAACACUCCCUCGUGAGGGAGCUUGACGGUACUGUAAGAAUAAGGAUCGGCUAACUCCGUGCCAGCAGCCGCGGUAAUACGGAGGAUCCAAGCGUUAUCCGGAAUCAUUGGGUUUAAAGGGUCCGUAGGCGGUUUGGUAAGUCAGUGGUGAAAGCCCAUCGCUCAACGGUGGAACGGCCAUUGAUACUGCUAGACUUGAAUUAUUGUGAAGUAACUAGAAUAUGUAGUGUAGCGGUGAAAUGCUUAGAGAUUACAUGGAAUACCAAUUGCGAAGGCAGGUUACUAACAAUAUAUUGACGCUGAUGGACGAAAGCGUGGGGAGCGAACAGGAUUAGAUACCCUGGUAGUCCACGCCGUAAACGAUGGAUACUAGCUGUUGGGAGUAAUCUCAGUGGCUAAGCGAAAGUGAUAAGUAUCCCACCUGGGGAGUACGUUCGCAAGAAUGAAACUCAAAUGAAUUGACGG
rnacentral:rRNA from 1 species